rnacentral:hammerhead_ribozyme from 1 species
AUCUAGCUGACGAGUCCCAAGUAGGACGAAACACGCUUCCUGAAU